CUGAACUGCACUGUGACCUCCCUGAUCCCUGUGGGGCCCAUCCAGUGGUUCAGAGGAGCUGGACCAGGCCGGGAAUUAAUCUACCAUCAGAAAGAAGGCCACUUCCCCCGGGUAACAACUGUUUCAGACCCCACAAAGAGAAACAACAUGGACUUUUCCAUCCGCAUCAGUGACAUCACCCCAGCAGAUGCCGGCACCUACUACUGUGUGAAGUUCCGGAAAGGGAGCCCCGACGUGGAGUUGAAGUCUGGAGCAGGCACUGAGCUGUCUGUGCGUGCACAGGAGGGAUCUUCAGACCAUCCAGCCCAACCCCCUUUACAGAUGGGGGACUGAAGCCAAGACAUGACAGGGGCCUUGUCCAUGGUCACAGCGCCAGUUAGUGACAGAAUUGGAGCCAGAGUCCAUGUGUGAACCGAGGCAGUCUCCUUUCUU